rnacentral:rRNA from 1 species
UAAUACAGAGGGUGCGAGCGUUAAUCGGAAUUACUGGGCGUAAAGCGCACGUAGGUGGUUUUGUAAGUCGGAUGUGAAAUCCCCGGGCUUAACCCGGGAACUGCAUUCGAGACUGCAUUACUCGAGUAUGGGAGAGGGAAGCGGAAUUUCCGGUGUAGCGGUGAAAUGCGUAGAUAUCGGAAGGAACAUCAGUGGCGAAAGCGGCUUCCUGGCCCAAUACUGACACUCAUGUGCGAAAGCGUGGGGAGCAAACAGGAUUAGAUACCCUGGUAGUCCACGCCAUAAACGAUGAGAACUAGAUGUCGAGAGGGUUAGCCUCACGGUGUCGCAGCUAACGCGUUAAGUUCUCCGCCUGGGGAGUACGGCCGCAAGGUUG